rnacentral:rRNA from 1 species
UUUCGCAAUGCCCGAAAGGGUGACGAAGCGACGCCGCGUGUGGGAAGAAGGCCUUCGGGUUGUAAACCACUGUCGGGAGUUAGGAAAUGUAAGGGUGCUAAUAGUAUCCUUACUUGACUAAGGCUCCGGAGGAAGCCACGGCUAACUCUGCGCCAGCAGCCGCGGUAAUACAGAGGCGGCAAGCGUUGUUCGGAAUUAUUGGGCGUAAAGAGCACGUAGGCGGCCUUGUAAGUCAGUUGUGAAAGCCUUCUGCUUAACGGAAGAACAGCAGCUGAUACUGCAAGGCUAGAGUGCGGAAGGGGAGAGUGGAACUUCUGGUGGAGCGGUGAAAUGCGUAGAUAUCAGAAGGAACACCGGCGGCGAAGGCGACUCUCUGGUCCGUAACUGACGCUGAGUGUGCGAAAGCUAGGGGAGCAAACGGGAUUAGAUACCCCGGUAGUCCUAGCCGUAAACGAUGGGCACUAAGUAGAGGGGUUUUA